rnacentral:rRNA from 1 species
UACGUAGGUGGCAAGCGUUGUCCGGAUUUAUUGGGUUUAAAGGGGUGCGUAGGCGGUCUUUUAAGUCAGUGCUGAAAAUACUCCAGCUUAACUGGAGGGGUGGCAUUGAUACUGGAAGACUUGAGUGCAGUCGAAGUAGGCGGAAUUGACGGUGUAGCGGUGAAAUGCUUAGAUAUCGUCAAGAACACCGAUAGUGAAGACAGCUUUACUAGGCUGCAACUGACGCUGAGGCACGAAAGUGUGGGACACAA